rnacentral:rRNA from 1 species
CCUGAUGAGUAUUCUAAGGCGCUUGAGAGAACUCAGGAGAAGGAACUCGGCAAAUUGAUACCGUAACUUCGGGAGAAGGUAUGCCCUGGUAGCGUGAUGCGCCUGCGCGCAAAGCGUGAAAGGGUCGCAGAUAAUCGGUGGCUGCGACUGUUUAAUAAAAACACAGCACUCUGCAAACACGAAAGUGGACGUAUAGGGUGUGACGCCUGCCCGGUGCCGGAAGGUUAAUUGAUGGGGUGCAAGCUCUUGAUCGAAGCCCCGGUAAACGGCGGCCGUAACAAUAACGGUCCUAAGGUAGCGAAAUUCCUUGUCGGGUAAGUUCCGACCUGCACGAAUGGCGUAACGAUGGCCACACUGUCUCCUCCUGAGACUCAGCGAAGUUGAAAUGUUUGUGAUGAUGCAAUCUACCCGCGGCUAGACGGAAAGACCCCAUGAACCUUUACUGUAGCUUUGCAUUGGACUGUGAAUCGGUCUGUGUAGGAUAGGUGGGAGGCGCUGAAGCGAGGUCGCUAGAUCUCGUGGAGCCAACCUUGAAAUACCACCCUGAUUUAUUUGCGGUUCUAACCUUGGUCCGUUAUCCGGAUCGGGGACAGUGCAUGGUGGGCAGUUUGACUGGGGCGGUCUCCUCCUAAAGGGUAACGGAGGAGUUCGAAGGUACGCUAGGUACGGUCGGAAAUCGUGCUGAUAGUGCAAUGGCAUAAGCGUGCUUAACUGUGAGACUGACACGUCGAACAGGUGCGAAAGCAGGACAUAGUGAUCCGGUGGUUCUGAAUGGAAGGGCCAUCGCUCAACGGAUAAAAGGUACUCUGGGGAUAACAGGCUGAUACCGCCCAAGAGUUCAUAUCGACGGCGGUGUUUGGCACCUCGAUGUCGGCUCAUCUCAUCCUGGGGCUGUAGCCGGUCCCAAGGGUAUGGCUGUUCGCCAUUUAAAGAGGUACGUGAGCUGGGUUUAAAACGUCGUGAGACAGUUUGGUCCCUAUCUGCCGUGGGCGCUGGAAAUUUGAUGGAGCCUGUUCCUAGUACGAGAGGACCGGAAUGGACGUACCUCUGGUGUACCGGUUGUCAUGCCAAUGGCAUUGCCGGGUAGCUAUGUACGGAAGAGAUAACCGCUGAAGGCAUCUAAGCGGGAAACUCGUCUAAAGAUAAGAUUUCCCGGGGGCUUGACCCCCCUAAAGGGCCGUUCGAGACCAGGACGUUGAUAGGUCAGGUGUGGAAGCGCAGUAAUGCGUUAAGCUAACUGAUACUAAUUGCCCGUGCGGCUUGAUCCU